rnacentral:rRNA from 1 species
UGGCGAGUGGCGAACGGGUGAGUAAUGUAUCGGAACGUGCCUAGUAGCGGGGGAUAACUACGCGAAAGCGUAGCUAAUACCGCAUACGCCCUACGGGGGAAAGCAGGGGAUCGCAAGACCUUGCACUAUUAGAGCGGCCGAUAUCGGAUUAGCUAGUUGGUGGGGUAACGGCUCACCAAGGCGACGAUCCGUAGCUGGUUUGAGAGGACGACCAGCCACACUGGGACUGAGACACGGCCCAG